rnacentral:rRNA from 1 species
GAUGAACGCUGGCGGCGUGCCUAAUACAUGCAAGUCGAACGCACAGCGAAAGGUGCUUGCACCUUUCAAGUGAGUGGCGAACGGGUGAGUAACACGUGGACAACCUGCCUCAAGGCUGGGGAUAACAUUUGGAAACAGAUGCUAAUACCGAAUACAACUCAGUGUCGCAUGACACCAAGUUACAAGGCGCUUUGUAGUCACCUAGAGAUGGAUCCGCGGUGCAUUAGUUAGUUGGUGGGGUAAAGGCCUACCAAGACAAUGAUGAAUAGCCGAGGUGAGAGACUGAUCGGCCACAUUGGGACUGAGACACGGCCCAAACUCCUACGGGAGGCUGCAGUAGGGAAUCUUCCACAAUGGGCGAAAGCCUGAUGGAGCAACGCCGCGUGUGUGAUGAAGGCUUUCGGGUCGUAAAGCACUGUUGUAUGGGAAGAACAGCUAGAAUAGGGAAUGAUUUUAGUUUGACGGUACCAUACCAGAAAGGGACGGCUAAAUACGUGCCAGCAGCCGCAGUAA